UACGUAGGGUGCAAGCGUUAAUCGGAAUUACUGGGCGUAAAGCGUGCGCAGGCGGUUCGGAAAGAAAGGUGUGAAAUCCCAGGGCUUAACCUUGGAACUGCACUUUUAACUACCGGGCUAGAGUACGUCAGAGGGGGGUAGAAUUCCACGUGUAGCAGUGAAAUGCGUAGAGAUGUGGAGGAAUACCGAUGGCGAAGGCAGCCCCCUGGGAUGAUACUGACGCUCAUGCACGAAAGCGUGGGGAGCAAACGGG
rnacentral:rRNA from 1 species